rnacentral:tRNA from 1 species
ACCUGGGUGGCUCAGUCAGUUGAGCAUCCGACUUCGGCUCAGGUCAUGAUCUCCUGGUUUGCGGGUUCGAGCCCCGCAUCAGGCU